rnacentral:misc_RNA from 1 species
GCUGAUAUACAUAUAUAUGUGUUAGCAAAACUCCAGCUGUGCAUAUAAGUACAGGUAUAGGUACGCAGUAGUUUGUGUAGACGGAAAAGCAAUUACCCGGAAUGUAGAGUCCGUUCCAGAGCAACAUGUGGUUCAAGAAACCAUCAGCUGCGCAAACUCAAUGGUCGCUACUAGCUACUAAUACCGCUGUUGCUGAUGAGGUGCACACGUAACAUAUCUAUGCCGAUAGCAAGAAUCGCUAACACGAGUAUAAUUAACAAAAAGAGGUGGAAAUAAUAAGGCAUCGAAUUCAAGAAUUCCCUAUCCACCGUACUGAAAAAAGGAGUAAAAAGGAAAAAGAAAGAUUUUUAUAUCCACGCACACGACGCCGUACGAAAAUUCGCCCGGUUUCGCAUUGUUUGCGAAAACAAUAGGCGAGAAGUGUCGAAUCCUAGAGAACAAUCAUUACAGAGGAAUUACGGGCAAGGGGGUCGGUGCGGGACCGGAUGGUUUCCAUGACAACCGUACGAGAGACACGCGAACCUCUCAUGCGCGUUAC